rnacentral:tRNA from 11 species
GCCGGAAUAGCUCAGUUGGUAGAGCAGCGCAUUCGUAAUGCGAAGGUCGGGGGUUCGACUCCUCUUUCCGGCACCA